ACCUAUCGCUAAUACGACCCAUUUUUCCCAUUAAACCUCAGCUAACUAGGUUAAGCUACAGUUGUUGAGUUCCUUGUAGUUCCUUCUCUAACUCUAACUCCUAUAGCUCUUCUUCUUCCUAGCGGUGUGUUACAGAUCUCCUUCCCAUCAAAACACCUUGCCCACAAGGUGGGGGUAUUCUGCACACAGCUGAUGAUAGGGCUCCCAUGAUGCUUCCUUCGAUAGUUGUCCCUGCAACCUCACUAAAAGCUCGAAAAAAGGCUGAUUCUUUUCAUCCUUCAGUUAAGCACUUCUUCUGGUUCUGGUUUAAGAGUUCCCUUUGAAUCCAUGAGUGGUCACGCAGUGAUUGGGUUGAUCUGCUGACCUGGCUUUCUUUUCAACUGUGAAACAUGAAAAACGUUAUGUAUCUGUGCAUUUUCAGGGAACCUGAUACGAUAAGCCACUUCUCCGAUAUGCUACUCCACCUGGAAGGGCCCAUAAAAAUAGGGAGAAAGUUUGAGGCUUUGGCGGUAGCAUAAUGACAUCUAUCAAUAGGGUUGAAGUUUAAGAAACCAGUGCAAGGAGUUCGUUCUCAUAUGUUGAUAGUCCCAAGGCCCUUCCCUUGAGCGACUGGCUGAAAAAUGCGAGAGGCCUCAUCUGUUGCAUCAGCACUGCCCCAACUGCCUUUCCAGAGACAUCAUACUCAACUAAAAAUGGUAACUAAAAAUUGGAUAAGGCCAAAACUAGUGGUUGUGUCAUGGUUAUUUUCAGUCUUUCAAAGGCACCAUGUGCUUCCUCAUCCUAACUGAAGUUGUCUUUCUUUAAUAAAGAAGUUAAUUUUGCUAUUA